GAUGAACGCUGGCGGCGUGCCUAAUACAUGCAAGUCGAGCGAACAGAUGAGGAGCUUGCUCCUCUGACGUUAGCGGCGGACGGGUGAGUAACACGUGGAUAACCUACCUAUAAGACUGGGAUAACUUCGGGAAACCGGAGCUAAUACCGGAUAAUAUAUUGAACCGCAUGGUUCAAUAGUGAAAGACGGUUUUGCUGUCACUUAUAGAUGGAUCCGCGCCGCAUUAGCUAGUUGGUAAGGUAACGGCUUACCAAGGCAACGAUGCGUAGCCGACCUGAGAGGGUGAUAGGCCACACUGGAACUGAGACACGGUCCAGACUCCUACGGGAGGCAGCAGUAGGGAAUCUUCCGCAAUGGGCGAAAGCCUGACGGAGCAACGCCGCGUGAGUGAUGAAGGUCUUCGGAUCGUAAAACUCUGUUAUUAGGGAAGAACAAAUGUGUAAGUAACUAUGCACGUCUUGACGGUACCUAAUCGGAAAGCAACGGCUAACUACGUG
rnacentral:rRNA from 1 species